GUGUAUAGAUGUGUAUACACAUAUAUGUGUAUAGAUGUGUAUACACAUAUAUGUGUAUAGAUGUGUAUACACA
rnacentral:pre_miRNA from 10 species